UGUGUGUCUAGUUGCUAGUUGGCAACAACGACUUUGUGCCGGAGCCAUGGCAAUAGCUGCCUCGCCAAUUGAGUUUAUGCCAAAUAAUAAUAUUCACCUGCAGCUUUCCGCUGGGAUAUCCGCAAUAAGUAGGUAUUGCAUCCACGGGUGCAUCUUAAAAAUGCAACUAAUGAAAUUACUUGAGUCGACGACUUCUCCUGUUUCAGUGUAAUAACCUAAUUCCAUGGUACUAUAUUAUUCAUUUCGCUGCACCCAGCCGACAGGAAUUUGAUGGAAUUUCCUGUAAACAGGCAGCUCGCAGCAGACAGACAGACGUACCAGACGGACACACAAGCCACUUCCCUCGAAUAGACAGACUCACAGACAAGGCAACGCAUACAGUGAACAGCCUGGAUGUAGGAAGGGGACACGAAGUCCGACGGGUACAUAAACAGGCUUAUGAGCAGCUCCUCGUAAGCGAACUUCCAUUGAAUGGUUGGUCUUCUGUUGCCACCACAGACAAUCAGAAAGGCAUUCAGCCAAGAGAACGCCGAACACCAGCAACAAAACUUGGCCAAAACACAGGGAAAAACUGAUAAAGAACAUUUUUUAGAAAUCUAAAUGAUAUUUAAGAUCUUAGCUUAAAUUCCAAAGUAAUCAGUAACUUGAACAUUUACUUACUUUUCUAAGAUUAAUUAAUAAGGAAAUAAGGAGGCUUAAUACGAAAGGAAAGCAAUUUUUUGAUACAACAGCUUAAUUUAAAAUGUCAUUCAAAAUUCAAAAAUGAAUAUAAAACAUCUUUUGCCCAGGGCGACAUUUGUUUGCAUACUUGAGCUAAAAGCCAGCACAAUAUUGCUGGAAGACUGAGUGUCCCAAAGACAAUUCUCUGGGUGAUUCAUUUGGCAUUUUGCGAACUUAAUUGAUGGCAAUUUGUGAUUCGUCGUACGCCGCACUCCAUCUGCACGAGACCGAGACAGCGGACCAUUAACACAUUUUAAUCUGCCGCCGGGCGAAUGGCUUUUGUGCGGUUGGUGGGGUCUCUGUGUAUCUGAAUCUGAAUAUGAAUCCGAGACCGAAACUGAAUCGGAAUCGGAAUCGGAAUCGGAAGAUCCUCCGGCAACGAAAGCUGGCGCUCAGUCGCUCUUAAUCAUCAGCAUAAGCAAUAAUGGGAAACAAUUGCCAUCUGCCGACUGCCAGACCUCAGUUGCUUUUGCUUUUGCUUUUGCUCUGCUGUUGCUCUUGCUGUUGCUGCCACUGAAAUUGCUGAGCUGAGGCACAAACUUUUAUUGCAUUGCCAUGUCAACAGUCGUAGCAGCAGCAAUUGUUAUCCCUGUGUACGAGUGAGUGUGUGGCACCAUUGCACUUAAAAUGCGAAUCCGAAUCUGAAACCGACUGCGAAUGCGAAUUGUGACGCAAAAUGAAGCUACUUGUGCGCCACUGGCAGCAGAUACAGAUACAGAUGCAAACUGUGCGGUGCCACUGCUGCUGCGAGUGCUGCUGCUGCUGCUGCUGCUGCUGCAGCAUGCCACAUUCAAUUAGUGCAACAACAUAUCCUGCCAGCAGUUGAUGUUGCUCUCUUGCACGGCAGUCCGUAGUCCAGAGUCUGUGCUACACUUAAUUUUAUUCAUUUGACAGUGCCACAGUCGGUGUCUCGUCCAUGGGGCACAUUCGAAUCGCUGCCACACGUUCACCAGCAAUUAAGGUCAUUGAAGGCAGCAGAAAAAGCAGCAACAGAAAGUGCAACGGGCCAACAACAGAGGAAAUACUUUUUAAUUAUGACAUUUUAUUGAGUGAACAUUUAUGCAAAUAUGACAAGACCUUUUAUUUUGUCGCCAUUCAGGGUUUGAGGCGAUUUUAAUGAGCGGGUUAACAGGGUUGAACAGAUCCAUUGUUCAAGCGAUUUUGCAUUCAAGUUGGGGAAAUACGGACGAAGUUUGCCGACUAAGGGUUAACAUAAUUUGCCCAAG
ensembl:ncRNA lncRNA:CR44943 long non-coding RNA:CR44943